CUUGGGAGUUGAUGAAGAUGCUAAGUGUCCUCUCCUCAAGAGAAAGUCUGCUGAUGCUGUGGUGGAUAAGUUAAAUGAAGUGGAUAGUUCUGAAAAUUCAUGCGAUGAAGUUGAUGAAAGUGAAGAGGAGUAUGUGGUUGGCCUUAAUCGAGGCUCUCUUGAUGCUGAGAAAGAUGUGAAGCCUUCGUUGAAGAGGUUGAGAAGAUUCUUGAGGCUACAAUUUGAUGAAGCUGAUGAGUCUCGUGGCUCGGGGAAUGAUGGCUCCUCUAGACAUGGGGUUAAUUGAGGUGGCUGCCCAUAGUAGUUAACUAGAGCUACUGAUUAGGAUUAAUCUAGGGCAUUAGGUAUUUUGGUUGUGUCCAUGUAAUAGUAUUUGAUGCAUUGGAUUGUAGUGGAUGAGAAUAUGUGUGUGUUUUCAUGUUUUGUAUAAGUUGUUUGGAUUGUUUUUUGGGCAUCUUUCUCAUGUAAUAGAUUAAGUGCUAGGGUAUGGACACGAUAUCAUUAGCCACUAGGCAAAUUAGCUAUUUAGCCUUUUAUGUUUGUACUUAUUUCUUUGAAAUUCAAUAAAAUGCAGUAGCUCUUUUAUGAUAUAAAAAUCUCUCCUUCCACAAUUUAGUUUAUUUCGUAACUUAUGUGGUUUUGC